rnacentral:tRNA from 1 species
UUAAUAUGGCAGAUAAAGUGCAUUGGAUUUAAACCCCACUCAUAAAGAUUUUUCAUCUUUUAUUAAAA